AGAGCGGGAGCCCGGAGAUGGGCACUGAGACAAGGGCCCAGGCCCUACGGGGCGCAGCAGUCGCGAAAACUUUGCAAUACACGAAAGUGUGACAGGGCUAUCCCGAGUGCCAUCCGCUGAGGAAGGCUUUUACCCAGUCUAGAAAGCUGGGGGAAUAAGGAGAGGGCAAGUCUGGUGUCAGCCGCCGCGGUAAUACCAGCUCUCCGAGUGGUGUGGAUGUUUAUUGGGCCUAAAGCAUCCGUAGCUGGCUAAGUUAGUCCCCUGUUAAAUCCAACGAAUUAAUCGUUGGAUCGCGGGGGAUACUGCUUGGCUAGGGGACGAGAGAGGCAGACGGUAUUUCCGGGGUAGGGGUGAAAUCCUAUAAUCCCGGGAAGACCACCAGUGGCGAAGGCUGUCUGCUAGAACGCGCCCGACGGUGAGGGAUGAAAGCUGGGGGAGCGAACCGGAUUAGAUACCCGGGUAGUCCCAGCUGUAAACGAUGCAGGCUAGGUGUUUGGACGGCCACGUGCCGUUCUAGUGCCGCAGGGAAGCUGUUAAGCCUGCCGCCUGGGGAGUACGAUCGCAAGAUUGAAACUUAAAGGAAUUGGCGGGGGAGCACCACAAGGGGUGAAGCUUGCGGUUUAAUUGGAUUCAACGCCGGG
rnacentral:rRNA from 1 species